GCCCUAAAUCUAGCCUUAAAAACUCGCAUGAACCUCCCUCCCAGAAACUUAAAACAAAACAUUUUCUUAUCAUAGUACAGGCGAUCGAAAAAUUUCUAAGCGCUUCAGAUAAAGUACCGC
rnacentral:rRNA from 1 species